rnacentral:rRNA from 1 species
UUUAGUGAUCCAUCGUCUUUCAAUGCACCAGUUCCCGAUUGAUCACUGAAGUUAAGCAACGUUACGCGUGGUUGGUAUCCGGAUGAGUGACCAUAUAGGGAAUCGCGCCCUGCUGGCU